UGUUUUUUUUUUUUUGUUUUUUUUUCUUGGUGUGAUGUUAUGCGGUGGUUCGGUAGAAGAGAUGGUACUACGGUGGUCGGGUGCGGCUUCGCUAACGCACGAAAUCUGUCCCGUGAAUCCACGAUAUUACACGUGUGGUCGAGAUUAUUUCUCGACCAGAUUGUUUCGUCGUCGACAUCUACGCGAAUUGUGAAAAAUUGGAACGGAAGAUAGAAUUCGUUUCGACACGGGACAGUCUCGAGGAAGCGGAAGUGGCACCGGCAGCGUCCCGGUUGACGAAAGAAAAGCGACGUCUCGCCGAGCUUCCUUCAUCCUUCGAUACAUCCAGCCGAUCGUUUCGCGCUCCUCCGUCCGAAUGACCAUUUCUUGUUUAUAUUAUAUCCCGAUGCAUCUCUACUAGAUUAUAUCUCUCUGAUUAUAUCUCCGAUUAUACUCUCUCACACUUGCUUGCUACAAUGGGAGCUACGAGGAGCUCCGAUCACCGAUCACCGACGACAUCCAUGAUCGUCCGCAAGGACCGCAUGGUCUCUAUCGAUCUCUCGCGACAAUUUUUUCAUUCUCGUCUGAUCCACGAUCGCAAGGUCACUCUACCAACCGAAGGCUUCUUUUCUUCUUUUCUUUUCUUUUUUUUCUCUUUUCCUUUAGUCUUUCUCUCUUUUUCUUUCUAUUUCCAAUAUUGCCUAAGAGCCUUCGAUCUUUCGAUCGGACGCGAAUUAGAAAUUUUUUGCUCCUGCUCUCUAAACAUUUAUCCUCUUGCGGACGCCGGGCGCCGCCGCAGUUCUUUCGCCCACCGCGACGUACGGCCGACAUCGUUGUCCAUAUUUCUGCGCGCGGCGUUUCGACGACUCUCGUUACACCCCUUCCUUCUUUUUCCCUUCCUAUCCUCUCUCUUAUCGCCGAUCGUAGCUUCUUUUUUUUUUUUUUUUUUUUCUAUCGUGCACAAUCGAGAAAAUCGAGAAAAGAUCGAUCGUCACGACGUUCGCCCGAAAAUGGAACGAGAUCCCCCCCCCCCCCCCCCUCGAUCGUCAUCGCGAUCCGAGUGUUAUUAAAUUCUUUCCCCCAGAGGGAUUGCGGGAAAACGUUCGAAACGCGGCCACGUCGCAUGGACAAGAUGAGUAAGAGCAAGAUGCGUAUCCACGACUCAUCGAUCGAGAUGGAUAUCGAGUUCGGUAAAGUGCAACGAAUGAAAAUUCCACGAUAUUUUGCAAGAAAU